AGGAUGAACGCUGGCGGCGUGCUUAACACAUGCAAGUCGAACGGAGAAAGGGUAGCUUGCUAUCUUUCUUAGUGGCGGACGGGUGAGUAACGCGUGGGUAACCUGCCCUUUGCAGGGGGAUAACAGUGAGAAAUCACUGCUAAUACCGCAUACCAACUUCUUUCGCAUGAAAGAAGUUCGAAAGAUUUAUCGGCAAAGGAUGGACCCGCGUUGGAUUAGCUAGUUGGUGAGAUAACAGCCCACCAAGGCAACGAUCCAUAGCCGGCCUGAGAGGGUGAACGGCCACACUGGGACUGAGACACGGCCCAGACUCCUACGGGAGGCAGCAGUGGGGAAUAUUGCACAAUGGGCGAAAGCCUGAUGCAGCGACGCCGCGUGAAGGAUGAAGGUCUUCGGAUUGUAAACUUCUAUCAGCAGGGAAGAAAGGGCCUAUGGCCUAUGACGGUACCUGACUAAGAAGCCCCGGCUAACUACGUG
rnacentral:rRNA from 1 species